AACGAACGCUGGCGGCAGGCCUAACACAUGCAAGUCGAACGCAUCGCAAGAUGAGUGGCGCACGGGUGAGUAACACGUGGGAAUGUAUCCUUUGGUUCGGAAUAACGUUUGGAAACGAACGCUAAUACCGGAUGAGCCCUACGGGGGAAAGAUUUAUCGCCAAAGGAGCAGCCCGCGUCUGAUUAGGUAGUUGGUGGGGUAAUGGCCUACCAAGCCGACGAUCAGUAGCUGGUCUGAGAGGAUGAUCAGCCACACUGGGACUGAGACACGGCCCAGACUCCUACGGGAGGCAGCAGUGGGGAAUAUUGGACAAUGGGCGCAAGCCUGAUCCAGCCAUGCCGCGUGAGUGAUGAAGGCCUUCGGGUUGUAAAGCUCUUUCGCACACGACGAUGAUGACGGUAGUGUGAGAAGAAGCCCCGGCUAACUUCGUGCCAGCCGCCGCCGUAAAAC
rnacentral:rRNA from 1 species